GAAACUGGAACUGAAUGAGUGGCAAUGAACUUGCUGCUGGUUCCAUUGCAUUGGGCUGGUUUAUAUACACCAAGACAUGUACUCUCUAAGGUACAGCUCUACCAACUACAUACACCUAGGGUACAAGGCUGAAAUCAGCCAACAACUACACUAGUACCAGCCAUACUGCUGGUGUACUUCUACUAGUACAAGUAUGGCCUAUUGCCUUAUACUCUACAGGACUUAGAGACUUGACCAGCCAUGAGAUGAUCUGAUCCACUACAUGUCUCUGUCCUGGACAGGAAGAAGAGAGAAAGGGGGCAGCAGAUUAUGUCUUACAAUCUUCCCCUAAUCUUUGCUGCCCUCAUUUGACUUCCACCAUGCCAAUCAUCUUCCUCAGUUCCUGAAACCGAAGCUUCCCGAGUGACUUGGUGAGGAUGUCAGCGAGUUGUCGACCAGUUUCGACGAACUCGAUGACCAGCUGCCCUCCAUCGACGCAAUCACGAAGAAAAUGAAACUUCACAUCAAUGUGUUUGCUUCGGUCGUGGAGAACUGGGUUCUUUGCCAAUGCUAUGGCCGGCUGAUUGUCCAUCUUCAGUGCCAGUGCCUGAGCUUUACCUCCUGUGAGCUCACUCAGCAACCGCCGGAGCCACACCACCUGGCAUGCUGCCGUCGCUGCCGCGACAUACUCCGCUUCACAAGUGGACAGAGCCACCAUUUCAGUGAUUGCCAGGCAACCGGUGCAGUCCCGAGGAACACAAGCACCCCAGAGGUGCUCCUCCGUCCAUCCACGUCCCCGGCCAUGUCCGCAUCACUGUAAGCCACCAGCUCUGCUUCCCCUGUCCUGGGUGGCGCCUCGCUGAAGACAGACAGCCGAAGCCCACCGCGCUUGGGGAAGAUGAGCCCCAUCUCCGCUGACCCCUGGACGUAACGCAGCAAGCGCUUCACUGCCGCCCAGUGAUCUUCCCGCGGAUCCUCCAUGAAGCGGCUCACAUAGCCGACGGCGAACGCAAUGUCCGGCCGGGUAUGCGUGAGCCACCUCAAACCACCGACGAUGCUCUGGUACAAGGUGGCAUCCACCUUCUCCGCCGUGCUCUGUUUGGAGAGCUUCACGCGCUCCUCCAUCGGUGUAGCCACUGGCUUGCAGCCUACCAUGCCUGCCCUUUCCAGUAGCUUGAGCGCGUACGCCCGCUGGCCAAGGUUGAUGGAGUCCGCCCCCUGCCUCACCUCAAUCCCGAGGUAGUAAGACAGUGAUCCGAGAUCACUCAUCUUGAACUGGCUGGCCAUCUCCUCCUUGAACCGAGCGAUGUCGCUCGCCCGCGCGCCGGUGAUGAUCAAAUCAUCGACGUACACCCCGACGAUGAGGUGCUCCUUCCCCGUCGUCGGGUGUACAGAGCAUGCUCGCUGGCGCAUCGUGUGAAUCCAAGCUCCGUCAUGGUGGCGUCGAGCUUGGCAUUCUAGGCGCGCGGAGCUUGACGCAGUCCAUACAGCGCCUUCCGAAGCCGCAGCACUUUCUGCUCCUGCCCCGCCUGCACGAAUCCUGGCGGUUGCUUGACGAAGACCACCUCCGCCAAGUCGCCAUUGAGGAAGGCAGACUUGACGUCGAGGUGGUGGACCUGCCAGUCCUUGGCCGCCGGGAGCGCAAGCAGGAGUCGCACCGACUCCAUGCGCGCCACUGGUGCGAAGACCUCCUCGAAGUCAACUCCUUCCCGCUGCACGAAUCCGCGGGCGACGAGCCGUGCCUUGUGCUUCACGAUGGCGCCUCGCUCGUCGCACUUGACCUUGUACACCCAUUUGAGCCCGAUCGGUCGGCAUCCCGCCGGUGGAUCGACAAGCUCCCAGGUGCGGUUGUCCUCAAUGGACUUCAUCUCCUCGAGCAUCGCACGCCGCCAUGCUCCAUCGCGCUCCGCAGCUGCAAACGUGCCCGGCUCCUCUGCGCUCAUCAAGAGCAAAGUGUGGGCACCGUCGUCGAGCAGCCGAUCGGCCAGUCCUGGCACGGCUGCCUCCCCGACCACGUUGUCCACCCGCCGGAACCGCACCUCCUCCCCUUCAUGGAAGGCAUCCACGAAAUCUGAGACGUUGGAAGGUGGCGAGGCGUACUCCACAGUGGCCGCAGCUGGUGUCCUCUGCUCGGGUGAGCCAGGGAACUCUUCCCAGGCCGGCCCGGGCGUAUCCAGGUGCCCAGUCCUGCCUGGACUGGGUGGCUCCUCUGCUGCAACUGGUGACUCGACACCUCUCCCGGCUGCAGGCUCUGGUGACUGCUCAGCCGCUGUGCCAUGACCUUGAAUCACCAGGUGUUCGACGUCGAAGGAGUCGUUGAUGCCACCGCCUUCUGAUGCUCCCCCCAAAUCGGUCUCCUCCUCCCACCUCCAGGCAGCCGCCUCAUCAAAGACGACAUCUCGGGACACCAUCACCUUCCCGCCAGCCGGAUCGUAGAGCCUGUAGGCCUUGGACCCAUCCUCGUAGCCAAGGAACACUGCCUUGGUGCUCCUAUCUUCCAGCUUGUGAAGCCCUGGCUUGGUGGUGCGCACAUGGCCAAUGCAGCCGAAUGUGCGCAUGAACGAGACACUAGGCUUGCGCCCAUGCCAUGCCUCGAACGGUGUCUGUCCUUUCAGCGCCUUGGUGGGAGCCCGGUUGAGGAUGAAAACGGCCGUGCUCACCGCCUCGCCCCAGAAAGCUCCCGGCAUCUUCGCCUUCAUCAUCAAACGCGCCAUCCCAACGAUGGUCUGGUUCCGGCGUUCCACCACGCCGUUCUGCUGAGGAGAAUAGGGCGCAGUGAGAUGGCGCCCCACCCCCUCCUCGGCGCAGUAGGUGGCGAAUUCUAUCGCCGUGAACUCGCCGCCGCGGUCUGUCCUCAGCACCUUCAGCUUCUUCCCGGACUCCACCUCCACCCGCGCCUUAAAGCGCCUGAUGGCGUCCGCUGCCUCGGCCUUGCUCGUUAGAAGCUGCAGCCACAUGUAGCGGCUGCAAUCAUCUACGAGCAGGAGGAAGUACCUCCGCCCGCCGUGGGUCGCCGGCGUGAUUGGUCCGCAGAGGUCCCCAUGGACCAGCUCGAGCAGCUCCUCUGCGCGACGCUUGGCUGCCUUGGGGAACGGCAGCCGCCUCUGCUUCCCCGCCAAGCAGCUGUCGCAGAGCUCGCCUGCGUGCCUGAUCUCCGGUAGACCGUCCACCAUCUUCCCGAGCCGGCCCAGCGCAUCGAAGUUGAGAUGGCCGAACCGGCCAUGCCACAACCAUGGCUUCUCUGUGCACGCUGCUGCUAGGCACACUGGUUGCUCGAUCUUCAAAUCAAGGAGGUAAAGUCGGUUGCGUGAUCGCUUUACCUUUGCCAGGAGCCGACCGUCCUAGUCCCUGAUCCGGAGCACGCCGCCGCGGAUGAGCACCUCCGCGCCGUGCUCGUCCAGCUGUCCCAAGCUGACGAUGCUCGACCGGAGUUCGGGGAUGUAGUAGACCUCCGAGAGCGCUCGGUGUUCCCCGUUCUUGCACCUGAACAGCACCGUCCCUCGUCCGCGGAUCUCCACCCGAGAGCCGUCCCCGAACCGGACGCUCCCGGCAUGCUUCUCGUCCAGCUCGGAGAAGGCGGCGCGGCAGCCUGUCAUGUGAUUGCUCGCGCCGGAAUCCAGGUACCACCGCUGCUCGGACUCAUCUCCAGCGACUCCAAGAUGGACCUGCGCUCGCGGCUCAUCAAAGUGAUGGAUAGCCAGCGGCGCAGGAUUCUGCUCCGCCUCCAACCCUUCUUCUCUGCCGCUCUGCUCCGCGCAGUACACCCCCAUUAGGAGUGCGUGAUCGCCGUCGCUGUCGUCCUGAGCCAGGUGCGCCUCAUCCUUCUUCUCCUUGCGCUCCGGGCACUCCCGCGCCCAGUGCCCAACCUUGCCGCACUUGCGGCAGGCAUUCGGGUCAGUGAACUUCUUCUUGCCCUUCCUCUUGUCCGCCGGCCCCUUGUUCUGCUGCUUGCCGCCGCCGCGAUCGCCGCCACCACGGCUGGAGCCUUCCCCGGACCGCCUCUUCUCCUUCAUGCGUGCUGACCACUCCUCCUCGGUCAGCAGGAGCUUGGGCUUCUCCUUCUCCGGCGCCGGCGUGGUGCGGCUCUCUGCUACCCGCAGCCGCCCGGCCACGUCCUCCAGAGACAGCGUGGAGAUGUCCAGCAUGGUCUCGAUGGACAUGGCGAGCUGCGAGUAUCUUGCCGGCACGGUGCACAGCAGCUUGGUGACGAGGUCCUCGUCGUCCACCUUCUUGCCGUAGGUGGCCAGUUGCGUGGCCAGGGACUGGAGGCGAAGGGUGAAGUCCUCCACCGACUCCCCGGGCUUGAACUUGAUGUCGUUCAGCUCCCUGCGCAGCUGCUGAAUCCUCGCCCUCUUAGCUCGAUCCGAGCCAAUGCGCAGGGACUCCAGCAUCUCCUAGGCCUGCUUCGCGGUGUCCUUCGCGCCCAGCGCCUCAUGGUACUCCGCCGGCGUCGAGGCCAUGAGCGCCUCCAUGACUCCCACCUGGGCGUCCUCGGUGCGGUCAUCCUCCUCAAUCGCCCGCCACCACUUGCGCGCGCGAAGCUUCCACUUCAUCUGCGUCGCCCAUUCACCGUAGUUGGUGCGAGUGAGCAUGGGCCAGGAGCCGCUGCCACCGAACUCCUUUACCACGCGCACCUCCACCUGCGGUGGCGCCGGCUGGAGCUGUCGCUCACCACCUUCCCCGCCACCAUUCCGGCCCGCACUCUCCGCCAUCGCUGGUCAGGGGACCAAGCUACGGCUUGUACGGCUCUGAUACCACUUGUUGGCACAACAACCCUGCACCGAGGUGAGCAGCACCUGCUCUCCUCUCCUCUCCCUCUCCCCUGCUUCAAGGUAGAAGAAAAGCCCUGAGCUACUACUGCACACGCACACAGCACACACACAGUUUCAGACUUGAACUGAAACUGGAACUGAAUGAGUGGCAAUGAACUUGCUGCUGGUUCCAUUGCAUUGGGCUGGUUUAUAUACACCAAGACAUGUACUCUCUAAGGUACAGCUCUACCAACUACAUACACCUAGGGUACAAGGCUGAAAUCAGCCAACAACUACACUAGUACCAGCCAUACUGCUGGUGUACUUCUACUAGUACAAGUAUGGCCUAUUGCCUUAUACUCUACAGGACUUAGAGACUUGACCAGCCAUGAGAUGAUCUGAUCCACUACAUGUCUCUGUCCUGGACAGGAAGAAGAGAGAAAGGGGGCAGCAGAUUAUGUCUUACAUUGAGCACUUGAGCAUAUUGUCUAUCUCGUGAUUUGCAUUUGUUACUCUUGGACUCUUCGGUCCUAGACGGUUAGGCGUCGCCAGAGAGCUCCCAAGUGUUUGUGGUUGCCUCGGAUUGUUUGUGCAGGUCAAAUUUCGCCUCCGCGAGGGAAGAAAUCAGCUAGUGGAAAGAGGAUUUGGAGUUGAAAGAGACUCCGGCUAGAGUUUCCUUCGCGAUAUCCUC
rnacentral:lncRNA from 1 species